CCUACGGGGGGCAGUAGUGAGGAAUAUUGGUCAAUGGGCGGAAGCCUGAACCAGCCAAGUCGCGUGAGGGAAUAAGGCCCUACGGGUCGUAAACCUCUUUUGCCGGGGAGCAAGGGCCGGGGACGUGUCCCGGCCCGGAGAGUACCCGGAGAAAAAGCAUCGGCUAACUCCGUGCCAGCAGCCGCGGUAAUACGGAGGAUGCGAGCGUUAUCCGGAUUUAUUGGGUUUAAAGGGUGCGUAGGCGGGCUUUUAAGUCAGCGGUAAAAAUUCGGGGCUCAACCCCGUCCGGUCGUUGAAACUGGGGG
rnacentral:rRNA from 1 species